rnacentral:ncRNA from 2 species
AUGAAUAUACGGGGAGAGAACGCGCCAGUCGCGUCGCCGAAGGAGCAAGUAGAAGCUACGAAUCUCUCAGGUAAAAAAGACUCGUAUAGGACG